UUUGCCAUAUUGGUCAGGCUGGUCUUGAACUCCUGACCUCAGGUACUCCACCCCCUCAUACUCCCAAAGUGCUUGGAUUGCAUGCAUGAGCCACCCUGCCUGGCCACAAGUGCCAUUUGCAUAAUAUUAAGCAUAACUGUGUUCAUACCUUCAUUUGAUAGAUAUAUAUUUGUGAUUGUCUACAUUGUAAUUAUUGUAUUUUUUCCAUUUCAGUUUUUUCCACUUAAGUGUAAAUAAAGCUCAGCAUAUUUUAGAACAUUACAUUUACCCCAUAGGCUAUGAUGGAAGAAAUAGAAACCAGUUGCAGGAAGUGCAUUCAAAUUACAUAUAAAUGUGUAUCUAUAUAUUAUUACCUUAACACCAUACAUAACAGAGGAUUAUAUCAAUAUAAAAUUAUUAAAUCUACCUAGAUCAAUCUUUUCUGUUAAUUCACAGGAUAUUCACACAUUUUUGGGGUUGUGCUUUUGGUUGGUGCUUUUUAAGUUUGGUUGCUUGCUUUUUCUUGGCUUAUAUACUGGGACCCAGGAGCAAAUUCCGGAGCCUCCAGUCAGAAACUCAGCCUUUCAGUGAGGAAAGUGGGAGUGUGCACUUCUGAAGUAGGACUGAGUGUCAUAGUGCUGUGAUAGUGAGGCACAUACCCUCAAUGGAGAGUAAGUCCUUGUGUGUGGUUGAUUGUUUAUUUUGGAUAUUGCUGCCGCAUCCUUGCAUUAGUUGUCUGUAAGCAGUUAUAAACCACUAUUGUGUUGAUUCUUGCAUAUAUGAGCUUUAUUGUCCCUCUUUGUUGAAUUUUUGGUAUUUGGAUGUGCAAAAUAGUUUCAUAUGUUGUCAAUGAAAAGAUGCAUUUACCCUGGUUGGGAAGUUGGAAGCCCUCCCCUGUGAUAUCCAUAAGUUGUUUUGGCCGGAGCAGCUGGGAUUUAGAUUUAGAAUUCAUAUACUCACACAUUCUACAAAAUGUUAUGAAGCAUAUUUAAUAUGAAAGAUAGUAAUAAAAUGAGCAUGAGUGUACACACUAACCUCACUAAGAAAUAUGCAGUUAAUAUGAGUAGUUAAGCCCUCCAUCUGACCUUCCAUUUUCACAUCCUCUGCUCCCAUGAACCCUCCCAGAGGUUACUUCUGUCCUGGAUUUUGUGUUUCUCAUUUCCUUCUUCUUUAUAGCUCCACCAUAUAUAAGUCUAUUAUUAUCAACAUACAGUAUGAUUUUGCAUGUUUGUGAACUUUAUUUAAAUACUGUCUCUGUUAGGGUUCUCCAGAAGGACAGAACCAAUAAGACAAAGUUGUUAGGGAGAAUUGGCUUACAGGAUUACAAGGGGACAUUCCACAGUAGGCCAUGUGCCAGCUGGGGAAAGAGAAGCUGGUAGCCUUGCUCAGUCCAAAUCUAAAACCCUCAAAACCAGGGAAGCCAACAGUGCAGCUCUCAAUCUGAGACUGAAGGCUGGAGAACCCCUGACAGGCUGCUGGUUCAAGUCCAAAGGCUGAAGAACCUGGAGUCUAAUGUCCAAGGUCAAAAGAAGAGGAAGCCAAGUAUGUGGCAUGGCAGGGAGAGAAAGAGAACAAGCCAACUCAGCAAGCAGUUUGUCUAUCCCAGUUCUUCUGCCUGCUUUGUUCUAUCCUUGCUGGCACCAUGUUGGAUGGUGUCCACCCCCGCAUUGAAGGUGGGUUUUCCCCUCCUAGUCCACUGCCUCAAACGCCAAUCUCCUCUGACAGCACCCUCACAGACACACGCAAGAACAAUGCUUCAUCAGCCAUCUAGGAAUCCUUCAAUCUAGUCAGGUUGACAUCUAAUAUUAACUGUCACAUUAACAUAUUGUGUAUAUUAGUAUCUAUCUUGCUUUUAUUUUUUGCUCAAAAUAUUAUCUAAUGUAUCUGAUAUUUGUAGGUGGAGAUCACAUAUUUUCACCAAGGUAGUGAUUCAUUAUAUGAAUAUGCCAUUGUAGGAACAUGCCAUACCUUAUUUAUCUUUUAGCUGCUUGAUAGAUUUUAGGGAUAUUUCUGAUUUUUGCAAAUUCAAGCAACUUUCUGUUAAAAUUCUUAAGUAUGUUCCAUACUGUGCAAGAAUUUAGUUUUUCUGUUACUUUGUUUGUGCUAAGAGCCUUCUCUCACAGCUACUCAGUCUUCUUUUUUAAUAUAUAUAUAUUUAAAAUAUAUAUAUAUAUAUAUAUAUAUAGCCGAAAGGUUCUGGAUUCAUAUGAUAUGUACAUCCUCAACUAUUCUAGACAAUGCCAAAUUAUUUUCCAAAUUAUAUAAGUUAACACUGUAAUAUAGAAGAGUUUCUGUUGUUCUAGAUUUUCUUCUGCACUUGACAUUUACAGGAUUUUUAAUAUUCUCCUGUCUGGUGGGAUAAAAGGAUGUCAAAUUAUGGUUUUCAUUUACAUUCCUCUGAUUAGUAAUGACUUAGAACUUAUACACACAAGUGUGUGUUGCACAUGUACACAUAUACCCACCCACCCAUCCAAACCCACACACCCACCCAAAUUCACACACACAGUCUUUAUUUUUGCCUUGUGUGUUUCUUUUCUGGAGUGAAACUGGGGUCAUUUCUUUUACCCCUUUUUUUAUUCAGUUAUUUUUUUAUUGACUCACUGAAGUUUACUAUACCGUAUAUUAUGAAUACUAAUCCUAUUUUGGUUAUAUGUAUUGUGACUAACUUUUUGGCUUAUAUUUUCUUGAUUUUUGCAGAGUGACCUUUAUGAUAGCUUUAGAUAUACAGAUGUUCUUAAUUUGAAAGUAAUCAAAUAUGUCAGUUUUCCUUUAUUAUUUAUACUGUUUUUGCAUCUUACUAAAAAAUUUUCCCCAAGAUGUUGGCCCUAAAAAUCUUUUCCUAUAUUUUUCUCCUAAGCACUUUUUAAACUUACUUAUUGCUGCCUAACAAUAUUAUCAGAAACCUAGUGGCUUGAAACAACAUAUUUUAAAUAUCUCACAGUUUCUAUGGGUCAGGGAUCAAUCAUGACUUAAUUGGGUACUCUGGCUUAUGGUCUUUCACAAGGCUGCAAUUAAGUUGUUGGCUAGGGCCGCAGUGUCACCUGAGACUCAACUGGGGAAGCAUAUGCUUCCAAGCUUACAUGAUUGUCAGCAGGAUUCAGUAUCUUAUAGAUUGUUGGACCUAAAGCUUCAGUACUUUUCUCGUUGUUGCCUGGGGUCCGCCUUUAGUAGCUUACCAUAUGGACCUCUCAGUAUAGCAGCUUGCUCCCUUAAAGCCAGGAAGAGAGUCAAUAGAGAAACUCUGCCUACAAUGUAGCCUAAAUUAUGAAAGUGACACGCCAUCAUCUUUGCAGCAUUCUAUUGGUUGAAAGCAAGUCACAGGUCCCACCUAUAUGCAGAAGGAAUGAGCUACUUAAGGGCAUUAAUACCAGGAGAUGGGAUAAUUUUGGGGGUCAUAUUACAGUCCAUCUGCCACAGAUUUUGUCUUUCAUAUAUAAGUAUUUAAUCUACUUUAUAUUAAUUAUUGUGUCUAUUCUGACUUUUUUCCUGUAUGAAUAACCUAUUGUCCUUAAUUGAAAAAAUUGAAUAAUCUUUUUUUUUUUUCCCCACUAAUCUUCAGUGCCAUCUCUACCAAAUAUCAUGUCUCUGUAAUUUGUAGGAGUCCUUUUUGGACUUUCUCUUCUAUUCUGCUGGCAAAUUUGAUUACAUCAAUGAUGAUAUCCCACUGUCUUUAUUACUGUAGUCUUGUUAGCCUUGAAAUCUGGCAAGAUGAGUGUUUAUUUUCUUUCUCAUUGUUGUCUUGGAUUUUCUUAAGCCUUCGUUCAUCCAUAUGCAUUUUAUAAUUAGUUUUCACAGUUCCUCAAAACAAAAUAACAAUGCAUUUUAAUUUUAAGUGCAUUGUAUGAGUUUUGGGAGAGUUGAUGUCUUUAAUGGGCGUGGCAUGCGUCUCCUUUAAUUUAAUACUUGGUAAUUUUUUAGUAGAUUUAAGUCAAAGCACUUUAUAUAUUGUUAUUACUGUGAAUUAUGUUUAUUUUUAGUUAUAUGUUGUAAUUCUUGCUAGUAUAUAGAAAAUGCAGUUUAUUUUUGUGUAUUUAUAUUGUAUCAGGGACCUUAUUAAAUCUACUUAUUAAUUCAACAAUUUGCCUGUAAACUCUUUGGAGAUAUUUAUGUAUAUGAUUUGGUACCGUGUAAUUACUGAGAAUUAUAUUUCCCUCUUUCUGAUUUUAUAACUUUUUAAUAUUCUUACAUUUGUUAGGACCCCCUAUGAAAUACUGAAUAGAUAUGAUAAUAUUUGUAAUGGGUAGUCUUGUACUAUUUAUAAUGUUAAUAGAGUGCUUCUAACAUUUCACUGCUUUUCAAAAUGGAUGUUGUGUGUAUUUCAUAGGUUUACCUGAUCAGGAUGUGAUAUUUCCUUCUAUUCCUAGUUUGAUAUGUGACAUUUUAUCCUGAAUGCAUGAUGAAAUUUAUUGAAUGUUUUUGCCUAAUCUUAUGAAGAUUCUCAUGUGUUUCUUGCCUUUAUCAGUUAAUGUAAUACAUUAUGUAAAACUCUUUCCUUAUUUGAGAUUCAAUCGAAAUUUGUUUGCUAUGAUAAAAUGAGCCUGGGAAUGAUUCAUUUUAUUUGCGUAGUUUGCUGAAUUUUCUCUGUUAAUAAUUCGUUUAAGAUGUUUACAUCAGCAAUUAUAAUUGUGAUUUGCCUGUAAUCGUCUUUUCUCAUAUUGUACUUGCCUAAUUUUGAAGUCCACAUUAUACUUGUCACAUAAAAUAAGUUGGAAAUCUUCCAUUUUUAUGUUCUUUAGAAGAAUUUGCAUAAGAUUAAAAUGAUUUAAUACUAGAAUGUUCAUUAGAACCUAUUGGUAAAGUCAUCUGACCAUUGUAUUUUGUUUGAGGGAAGAUUUUUAACUAUGUAUAAAAUUGUAUUUUGUGCUUAUAGGCUUAUUCUGUUUAGCUCACAUAGUUAUUUUGUAAGUCUGUUUUGGCAAUCUGUAGUUUGAAGAAUUUGUCUUUUUGGGUCUCAUUUGGCUAUGCAGGCUGCAUUAUGUGGCGUGACCUUGAUGGCCUGGGCUCAAGCCCUCUCCCACCUCACCCUCCCAAAUAGCUGGAACUGCUGGUGCAUACCACCAGACCUUGCUAAUAUUUUUUCUUUUUUUUAUAGAGAUGAGAUCUUGCUUUAUUGCCCAGUCUAUGUCCUUUUCUUUUUCACAUUUAUUGACCUAAAUUUACUCAAAAUGCAUUCUGUUGCCUCUUUAACUCUUCACCCCCUACAUAUAUUUUUCUAUCUUUAGUAUUGAGCACGUGUGCCUUAUUUUCUUUUAUUACUUAAUUGGAGUUUGCCUUUUAUAUAAGUCUUUUUGAAGAUUAACUUUUAGUAUUUGUUUGUUUCUAACUUCUAUUUUAUGUACGUUUGCUGUUGCAUUAACUUUGGCUCCUGAUUUUACCUAUUUCCUUCAUUCUAUUUUUUUUCUAAUUUUCUUUUGAUGUUGUGUUUUGUAUCUUCUUUAAUUAGAUAUAUGAUCCAUUCUUUUGGUCAGUGUCCUGCUGCCAAAAUCCACCAGGAAUAAGCUGGGUUUAUUGCGUAUUCCAGUGAGAGAGAUUUAAGAAGUGUGGCUUUUCUCUGGAUUAGCUUCUCUCAAAAAGUAGGAAUAGUUGGGUAUCUGAAUAAAUCUUACAUAGCAGAGGUGAGUACAGAGAGGCUAAAACUAUAAUUGAUGAAAAAGUACCCUUUGCGUAUAUUAACUUGGAGACAGGAAUGUGCACUAUUUUGUGGUUUAGCAAAUGUUUAUACUUUUCCUGUAUUCAAACGUGAUUAUGAAGUAGUGUUAUCUUUUUCUUGAUCCACUGUGGGAACAGAGUCGCUUUGUUCGGUGAAAUAUUCAUGGUUACCAGGAGGAUAUUAGGCCUGGCUGAUGAUAACAGGCCAGCUCCUCAAUGUCAGGAGCUAUUGUUUUUCCAUUUGCAUUUUAAAAUUUUUAUCAUUUUUACUAUACUAAUUUAAGGCUAUUAAUUUAUCUUUUGAACCAUAUUGCUUAUAUUCCACAUAUUUUGAUAUGUAGUUUAUCCAUUAACCUUUCUGUUUUCUGAAUUCCAGUGAAAAUCAUGGUUGAGUUAUUCUUAAAUUUAUAUAGUGCUAUUUAUCUUUUGUUAUUAUUUUUAUCUUAAGUAUGUUGGAACUUUGUUUAGUAUUAGUUUGACAUGUAAAUUUUCAUUUUGAUAUUAUCAAACAUUUUGUGGUCUGAUGUUUUUAAUAUACAUACUGUAAAUAGAUAACAGAAUUUUUACUCACAUUCUAACAAUCAUUGUCUUUUAUCUAAAGUGUUUAUAUCCAUGUGAUUAUUGAUAUUCAUGGAUUUAUUUAUAUCUGUAAUUAGUAUGUACUUUCUGUCUAUGCCUUUUAACUAUUAAUAUAUUCCUUUUUAAUUUACUUCUUUCUUGAAUUAUUUGAGAUGAUUAAUGCUUCCCUUCCUUUUAUUAAAAGCAAUGCAUCCUAUUCAUUUAUACAUCCAAUAUUUAUGUAUAUUUAUUUCUAUGUUUAUGUUUUUUUUUCUGUAACCAUCAUACUGUUCAAGCCUUUUUUCUGUGCUCAUUUUUUUCUGCCUUAGGUGUAUCUUUAAUAUUUUCUCAAUUUUUGUUUGCCUAAAAUAUGUCUUUGUAUGACAUUCAUUCUUGCAAGGUAAGUUGGCUGUACAUACAGUCCUAGGUUUACAGCGCUUUUAAUAUACUAUUCAACUUACCUCUUUUUACUACUUCCGUUUUUUCAGUGAAAUAGGAAGCAGAACAGUAGAUGAGAAAAAAGAUGGGGGAAGAGGUCUUGGAGGCUGAGAAGAGAAAAGGAGGUAUACAAUAGGCAUAGUCAUUUAGGAGAGCGAGAGAGUGAAGGGGAUGAAGAGUGGAAAUUUUGUACCAUUGCUAGACAGCUCUAAUGGCCUUCUUGAAAGUAAUGGCUGUUCACUUAAUGUAAGAAACCUGGUUUACCUCAGCUCUGUUCAGCUAGCUAGAUUGGCCAGAUUGUGUUUUUCCCAGGAGUGAGCGAGAUGACAGAAGAAAAAAAAAAUUAGAGAUAAUGUUGCAUGCAAGGGACUGAUUAUAGAGGGUAAAGUGACUUAUGAGAAUGAGGCUUAGGAAACACUGUAAAAGGGAUUUUAGAUUCUGGUGGCAUCCAAGACUGUUGGAUAGGAGGUACUCGCUGGUAAGAUUAACUGAAUAAAUCAGUUAUUGUUAUUUUCAAAAUUGCCUCAUGAGCAGAGAAGGCUAGGAGAGCUCAAAUCAUCAUUGCUGCAUUCCAGGAAGUUGGAAGGAAGAAGAGAAGAGCAACAUCCCAGAUGACUUUCUCUUCUGAAAAGAGCCUUUCAACCAACAACUUCCACUUUCUUAAGGUAUAAUUUUGUAGGAAAGAAUUUCUGGAAUUACUUGAGUUGUUAAAAACAUCAAAGCAGACAUCUCCUCAGAUUUCCAUGGCCUGGAGGAGACGGUAAAAUGGGUUACCAGCAUCUGCAUUUUUUAAAUGCUCACCCUCCAAGGGAUUCCACUAUGUAGUGGAGGGAAAUCCACUGCAUUAGGCAGGUGAAUAGUCCAAUCAAUUACAGUUGUUUCUUGUUUUCUGCAGUACUUAUGUCAUAUAACAUUGUUGCAAACACUGAAUUAGUGAACAAUACCUUAUUGCUCCUGGGGAAAUACAGUGUUAGGGUCCUAGAAGCCUUUGGUAACUGAAUUUUUGUCAAUCAGUCAAUAACCUUGGUUCAUGAAUGUUUCUGUUUAAAGACACCUUAUAUAAUAAAUAUUGUUGAUUGCUCUUCUACAUUGAACUCACAGCCAACAGUGCUGUAACUCAUACCUAUAUGAAGUUUAUCUAACACUUGUAUUUUCUUUGUAAGGCAUAUCACACACAGCCUUCUUGAGCCUAGGAACACUAGACAGCCCUGCAGGUCUACACUUUGGGGCCAAUUUAGACAGCAAACUCACUAACAAAAUCACACAGAAAAGUGUGAAAAACAUGGCAUUAAAUAAACCCUGAAAAGUACACUUGUUUAUAGCAUGAAAGUGGAAACAAGCAGGCAAAUUACUACCUUGUUCACCCUCAGCUGGGAAUGUGCUCUCCCUUCAGGUAACUUAAAUUUUUUGCCACUCUGCAUAUAUCUGCAAAUGACCAUUGACAGUGAUUAUUGAUUUUUGAGGUAACAUAAAUAUUAGCAAGAAGACAAAUUUACAAAUGCAAACCUGCACACCGUAAGGAUCAACUAUUUCUGAAGUUCUUUCCUCUCCGUAUCUGAUAGCCCUGGUUUUCCAGAGGUCUCUGCUUGAACAACAGCUCCCACCUCCACUCUCCCUUCUGUGC